rnacentral:lncRNA from 11 species
GUAGACUCCAAAUGCUGGUGAACCAGUGUAUUUCUCUUCCAAUAUUUUGCAUCAGAUUCACUUUUCUCUUUGACUUUUUUGAAGGAUGAGUGAAGAGAGGGUUACAAGUUGUACAGAUACUGUUGAAGAAGAUACAGAUGCUGAUGGACAGCAUUGCUCUACUGGAUGUUUCCAGGUCUCAACUUUAUGUUGCUGCAUCCCUAGGAGACGGAUGCACUUGCCAGGACAGGACAGGCCCAAGGACAGAAAGAAAAAAAAUGAGAAGAAGAACACUGGGGAUAUAUCUUUUGGUGAUACUGUACUUGAAGGAAGACAGAAGUUGAGCCAAGACUAUAGGAGCGUGACAUCUGCCGGAGAUGUGGGUGCUAUAACAACUGAAGGAGUCAAGCCUGCUUUAAAAGUUUGUAUUCAGACCAAUGACAAAAAAAAUCAAGAUCCUCAUAUAUCUCUUAUACCUAUUACUUUAGCAGAUAUCUGUUUAGAAGAAAAAAAACAAGAGCACACUGAAACAACAAAUGCAAAGCCUUUAUGUAUUCAAGGUAUGGUAUGGCAACAAAAAGAAGGAAUUAAGAAUGUAAAUGUUUUAUCUAUCGAAACAGAAGAGAGAUGUUUAGUGGGUGGUGCAUCAGAGGGAAUGCCUUUUACAGAAGGAAAGGAUUCUUUAGUUAUGCUAGCCAAAGAAAAGAGACAGUCUGGCAGACCUGAAUUGUUGAGUUCACUGAUGCAAGGAGCAAUCAAUGAAAAGGAGCAACAACAAGGAAGAGACCAUGUGAGUACUAUAUUGGAAGGUGUAUCUUUUAAGCAGGGACUGAAGCAGGGCCACAAAAGCAUGCCAUUUCAGGAGCUACAACAGUCUAUAGAAGUAGAACUUCAUACUAAAUCGGUCACCAAUGAAAGUACAUUUCGAGAAGAACAGAACAACAGUACUUGUGCUGAGCAGAAGCUGUACCCAUGUAAGCAGGAGCUGAAGCAUGACCAUGAAAAUGUGUUGUUCCAGGAGCUACAACAGUCUAUGGAACUAGAACUUCAUAACACCUUGGCCACCAGUGAAAAUAAAUUUCAAGACACACAAAACAGCAGUACUCAUGCUGAGAGUGUAACCUCUUUUCAGGAACUUCUCAACCAUUCAAGUGUACUAUGCAAUGAAAAACAGGAAACUUUGGGGCCACAAGAUGUUAUGACAGGUAUUUCUCAUAACACAGAGGGACCAAAGGACUGGAACCAGAUGAAUUCUGUGUCUAAAGGAGAUGACCACAAAGAGGACCAGGACUGCCAAGACAUGCUUAGUAUAGAGAAAGAGCAACCCACAGAACUAAAAUACCCAGAUAUAUUGUCCACCAUGUGUGGGAAGUAUGAACAAGAACAGCUAGGAGUACAGCAGCAACAAGACUUUGAGACAGAAAAUUCAUCCAACAAGACUGAGAACCACAACUUAGUGUUGCUUUAUCAGGAAGACCAACCACCUGUUGUACCAAAAACGGUUAGGUUUUCAUUCCAAGGCACAGGUGGUGAGAAAAAGCAGAAAGAAACACAAGCCAUGAAAAAUUCGACAUCUGAUACUGUUCUUACCAAGAUAGAAGGCCAUCACUAUGUUCCCCAUCAGGCGGAUUUACAAGCUGCUGCAUGUGAAAACAAUGACACAUUAUCUUUGGAUGUAACUUAUACACAGGAUCUGCAAAAACGAGCUUAUAUGAACACUUUGCCUGAGGAUGUUGCUGCUCACAUUAUAGAGCAGAAGCAUCAUGAGACACCUCAGCUUCUUUUAUUGGAACAAGUUAGCACACACCAUGAAGAAAAGGAACAGCAAGAAACACUAGGUUGUGCAUAUUCUGGACCCAAGUUUAUUACUUAUAUUGAAGAACAAGAGAGCCAAGAACCUAUUGUAUCACAGGACACCAGCAUAUUUCUUGACAGUGUAAGCCAUGAGAAGGAGCCUCCAAGAAAACUGGAAUGUGGUGACUCUGGGCCUGAGGACCUUUAUGACAAGAAGGAUCAGAACCACCAAGGUCCUGUAUAUUUGGAAAUGAAGCAGCCUCUUUUACUUGCAAAGCUCAGCAAUUUAACUUUGAAUGUAACCCCUGAAGAAGCACUGUGCAUAAGUAAUGUUGGCAAGCUAGAAAUUCACCCACUAGAUGAAGAGACAAAAGAACAGGAUGACCAGCAAAAAAUGCAUACAGUCUUAUGCUCUAAAGAGAAAACAACAAUACAGGAACUAGAAGGGCAACAAUCUACUCUCCCUGCACAAGCAGGAUGUAGCACAGAAGAAGAGCCACAGGGGUCUUGGCACUUCCAAAAGACUACAUCCAUCCCAAAUGAGGUGCAGCAGGAAAAAGAACAGUUGAACCGGGGCAUGACCAGUGAGAAGCAUUAGAAGGAAAAACAGGUUCUGUCAAACACCACUUUCCCUUGUACUACUAGAGAAGAUGAGGGGCAUGUUUAAGAUAGACAUUUUCUCCAUUUGACAAAAUCCUUUACUGUAUUCACUGCCUUAGCACUUAUUCUCAUUGAAAUACGAAAGCUGAAAAGAGAUAUUUUUGUUAUUUUGUGCAAAAAUACAAUAUAUACUGUAGACAAAGGCAAAAAAGUAAAAUUGAAAACAGUUGCUGCAUUGAGAAUAUUUAUUGAGCCAAUUUGUUUUAGAGUACAAGUAGAAUUCGAAGGGCAUGAAAUAUUAAGGGGAGUUAGGCAGGUGGACUUCAUGGAUGGAAUCUUUAUUCAAGGUAUGCAUUAACAAAUCACAGAAGUCACCAACCCAUGUUCUCUAGUAUGUGAAGAAUGACUGCACACAUUGCAGAGUUGCAGUCAUGGAAAGGACUCUGGGGAGUAGAUAAGCUUUAGUGAAGACUAUGGCACUUGAAUAUUAGCACACAGUCUUGGCUUUUCACAAAUUGUAUAUAUAUCCACACCCCUGCAGUUCAAGUGUUUGCUUGAAAUGACUUAUUCCC